rnacentral:lncRNA from 1 species
GCACGGCUGCCUUCCUCCCUCCAAAGUUCAGGGUAGUUUGACUCGAUUUCAGAGGGACAAGGCUUGCACAGCAGCGCCUGUCAACCGGUCACGCUGCCUGGCUAAUUCUGUACCCUUUCUCCUCGCAGGCCUGAGUGAGAGGAAGAUGAAGGUCCUGCUGACGCUGGCGGUGCUGUUUGCCUGCAGUAAGUGCAGCCGUUCCCCGGUCCACGGAUGGGAGCCAGGCUGCAGCCCCGCGCCGAUGCAGGGAGCAUCCCCAAACCCCUGUGCACUCCACGGGGAGACUCCCAGUAAAGCCCUCCUCUCUCCCCUGGUUCCCCGGGCCUUAUUUCUGCAUAUAACUUGCAAAAAAUCACAUUUUCCGGUUACUCUAGGUGUGUUCACCGCUCACGGGAAGCUCCCACGCAUGUUCACACCAGGACUCGAAGGAAGCACCGUAGGAAAUCUGACCGCCUACGGCUGUUACUCGGGAUGGGGCGGCAGCGGCACAUCGAGGGCUUCAGUGGACCGGUGCUGCUUGCUCCGUGCCUGCUGCUACGCCAAGCUGGCUGCACGGCGGUGCCGCGUGGGACCCAUCCAGCCCCUCAUGGUGCCCCGGGCAAGAGUCCCCCCCACCUGCCGUAAGUCCCUGCAGUCGCGGUUCGGGAUGCCUCUUCCCAGACCAUCUCCCUCCUUUGUGGUGGCCUUUUUUGGGGCAGCACCUCGGGGAUCUUGCCCAAAAGAAGGUCUCAGACGUGCUUUCUCUCUGGUCCCUGCAGGCUCCGGGACUUGGUGCCAGAGAGGCGCCUGCAGAUGCGAGCAGGCAGCCUGGCUCUGCCGGAUGCGCGGCCGGGGGCUGCUCCGGCGUCGCGGCAAGUGCCGGGGACGAGGCGGGCGGUGUUGAAGCAAAAAGCUUCUUCGCAAAACCACCUCCAGGCUGAUAAGUAAAGGGACGGUGCGGCGCCAGGAGCGUUUUCCCAACCCUGGCGGGUCUCCUCCUCGGGGCUUUUUGGCUUUGACACGAGGACAACAACGCUCUAGUGAAGUUGCGUCAUUAUACACUGGAUCCGAGGAGGGAGAGCAGCGCAGAUGCAAUGUUUCAGCACAGAAAAACAAGGGAGGGGUGGACACCUGCGCUUCGUCGCUGCGAAGGGCGAGAUGGAAACCAGCGCGAGCCUCUGCGCUGACACUCGUUUCCCCUUGGCUCGAGCUCCCCGUGCAGCCUGUCAGCUCCCUCUGCUUUUUGCUUCACCGCAAAUUCUUUUCCGUUGCUCCAAAAUAAAACCGGAGAGCACAAAACAUCGGUCCUCAGUGUGAUGUGACUCAGCUGAGCCCAGCGACCACCCCUUGCAGGCAGCGGAGAGAAGCUAUUCUCUUAGCUAGGUUUCCCAUUGAAUUACCCAGAAAAAAAUGACACCUGA